rnacentral:rRNA from 1 species
AUUGAACGCUGGCGGAAGGCCUAACACAUGCAAGUCGCGCGAGCGGCGGACGGGUGAGUAAUGUCUGGGAAACUGCCUGAUGGAGGUGGAUAACUACAGGAAACGGUAGCUAAUACAGCAUACCAUCAGAUGUGCCCAGAUGGGAUUAGCUAGUAGGUGGGGUAACGGCUCACCUAGGCGACGAUCCAUAGCUGGUCUGAGAGGAUGACCAGCCACACGGGAACUGCGCCACGGUCCAGACGCCGACGGUAGGCAGCAGUGGUGAAUAUUACACAAUGGGCGCAAGCCUGAUGCAGCCAUGCCGCGUGUGUGAAGAAGGCCUUCGGGUUGUAAAGCACUUUCAGCGGGGAGGCGUUACCCGCAGAAGAAGCACCGGCUAACUCCGGGCCAGCAGCCGCGGUAAUUC